GAAUGCUGUAGUGGGCAUGUGUGAAGAUGAAGAUCUGAAAGUUUCAGAAAUAUGAACAGAAGAAGGGAGCUGAAUGCUGAUGAUGCAGUUCUCAUUCCCAUGGCUUCAGUGUGUUCCACAGCCCAAAUGCCACAGCUCACUGUGUAUGUGGUGGAACGACACCUCACCCUGCCUGCACACACCCGAAAAGCUUUUCUGCAGAAUGAGGAUGCUUGAAAGCAUUGCCACAAGUUGCAACAGAUGUCUUUGCUCAGCAGCCACAGAGAUGGAGUACCAAACCUGGCAUGUCUAAGAAGAUCUGAUUUUGACCAUCUCUACUGAAUGCAGCAUUUGAUGGGAAAAAAAUAAGCCAGCCUCAACGUGUUCACCAAUCUGCUGGCCAGCACAGGAAGGCAUGCUGCUGUGGGCAGAGGUGGGCAGCUCCAGGAUCUUCCCUUCCUCUGGGACAGGUGGGCCUCUCCACUCGAGUUGCACAGCUGACUUUUCUGGGGCUGAAGUUCCCCUCCAGAGCCCACCACAGAGGGAUUUCAGAGGGAGCUUCCUC